UACGAUGAGUCCUUAUCAUUUCAGUGUUUAGGUUUCUUAGCCAGAAUUUCCAGAAAGUUUUUACCAAAAAUAUUGAUCCAACUUGGAAAAUUAAUUUUGACAAGCUUUUGUUUAUGUUCGUAGAUCCAUUAACCGCACAUUAAAAUGUUUAUCUUGUUGUCCAAGUGGAAGGCCUAUCUGCUUGCUGGUGAAACCUGGGUUUAGUGGCCAAGACCACAGCCCUUUUAGUAUGAUGCUUUUUUCGAUGAGAGAGGAGCAUGUUCAAGCUUAGCUUAUCCAGAUACCAUCUGUAACCAAGUUGGACAGACCGAAACUAUUCACAGAGGCAGGAAUUCUAAGUGACCUAUCAACAAUCAACAACUGCUCAUG
rnacentral:lncRNA from 1 species